ACUCAAAUGAAUUGACGGGGACCCGCACAAGCGGUGGAGCAUGUGGUUUAAUUCGAGGCAACGCGAAGAACCUUACCAGGCCUUGACAUGUCCAGUUUAGUUUCCAGAGAUGGAUUCUUUCACUUCGGGUGGCUGGAACACAGGUGCUGCAUGGCUGUCGUCAGCUCGUGUCGUGAGAUGUUGGGUUAAGUCCCGCAACGAGCGCAACCCUCAUUCUUAGUUGCCAUCAGUUCGGCUGGGCACUCUAAGAGAACUGCCGGGGUUAACCCGGAGGAAGGUGGGGAUGACGUCAAGUCUUCAUGGCCCUUACGGCCUGGGCUACACACGUGCUACAAUGGUGGUGACAGAGGGCUGCUAACCCGCGAGGGUAUGCCAAUCUCUAAAAACCACCUCAGUUCAGAUUGCAGGCUGCAACUCGCCUGCAUGAAGUUGGAAUCGCUAGUAAUCGCGGAUCAGAACGCCGCGGUGAAUACGUUCCCGGGUCUUGUACACACCGCCCGU
rnacentral:rRNA from 1 species